rnacentral:misc_RNA from 1 species
UCUCGGCCCCAGAGACAUGAAUACCUGGCUCUCAAAUAUGCUCUCAGGUGGAGAAGGCGUGCUUGUAAGACAUCUAAGGGUGAUUUAUCCACAUUUGAGCUUGGGUCUUGGGUGACAGAACUUGUUUUGAGUGCUUGCUCCCAAUCUAUUAGGUCAGAGAUGUGCAUGCUGAUUAGUUUACUUUGUACCCAGAGUUCAUCAAGACGGUUUCGGUUGUUAAACUUACUUAUGGCUUUGCUACCUGCAACCCUGGCUGCUGGUGAAAGUGCAGCUGAAUACUUUGAAUUGCUGUUCAAGAUGAUUGAUUCAGAAGAUGCUCGUCUCUUCUUGACUGUGCGGGGAUGUCUAACUACAAUAUGUAAACUCAUUACUCAAGAAGUUGGUAGUGUUGAAUCUUUUGAAAGGAGUCUACAUAUUGAUAUUUCACAAGGAUUCAUUCUUCACAAGCUUAUUGAACUCCUUGGCAAAUUUUUAGAGGUUCCCAAUGUUAGAUCCAGAUUUAUGCGAGACAAUUUGCUGUCUGAUAUCCUUGAGGCUCUUAUUGUCAUUCGUGGCUUAGUAGUACAGAAGACAAAGUUGAUCAGUGAUUGCAAUCGCCUUCUAAAUGAUCUUUUAGACAGUCUUCUGCUUGAAAGUAGUGAAAAUAAACGACAGUUUAUCCGAGCUUGUAUUUGUGGGCUACAAAUCCAUGGAGAGGAGAGAAAAGGACGAACUUGUUUGUUUAUUCUGGAGCAGCUUUGCAAUUUGAUCUGCCCAUCAAAACCAGAGUCCGUAUAUUUGUUGGUUCUAAAUAAGGCACACACACAGGAAGAAUUUAUCAGAGGAUCAAUGACGAAAAAUCCAUAUUCCAGUGCUGAGAUUGGUCCUCUGAUGCGUGAUGUGAAAAACAAAAUUUGCCAUCAAUUGGAACUGGUAGGCCUUCUUGAAGAUGACUAUGGCAUGGAGUUGUUGGUAGCUGGGAAUAUUAUCUCUCUUGAUUUGAGCAUUGCUCAAGUUUAUGAGCAAGUCUGGAAGAAGUCAAAUGGUCAAGCUUCAAAUGCAAUGGCCAAUUCUACCUUGUUAUCCUCAAGUGGCAUGACAUCAGCCAGAGAUUGCCCACCUAUGACAGUGACUUACAGGCUUCAGGGAUUAGAUGGUGAAGCUACUGAGCCCAUGAUUAAAGAACUAGAGGAAGAUAGGGAGGAAUCUCAAGAUCCAGAGGUUGAGUUUGAAAUAGCUGGAGCAGUUCGAGAAUAUGGUGGGCUUGAAAUUCUGUUAGGCAUGAUUCAGCGCUUAAGAGAUGAUUUCAAGUCCAACCAGGAACAGUUGGUUGCAGUUCU